UACAGAGGUCUCGAGCGUUAGGCGGAAUCACUGGGCUUAAAGCGUGUGUAGGUGGAUCGUUAAGUACCUUGUGAAAUCCCACGGCUUAACCGUGGAACUGCUUGGUAUACUGGCGGUCUUGAGCCAGCUAGGGGCUACCGGAACAAAUGGUGGAGCGGUGAAAUGCGUAGAUAUCUGGAGGAAUACCGGUGGCGAAGGCGGCAUCCUGGACCGGCAUUGACGCUGAUGAGCGAAAGCUAGGGGAGCAAACGGG
rnacentral:rRNA from 1 species